AGUGAACGUUGGCGGCGUGGAUUAGGCAUGCAAGUCGUGCGGAAAGGCUCCUUCGGGAGUACUCGAGCGGCGAAAGGGAGAGUAACGCGUGGAUAUCUACCCCCUGGACUGGGACAGCGGCGGGAAACUGCCGGUAAUACCAGAUAAUGUCUGCGGACCAAAGGUGUGAUUCCGCCGGGGGAUGAGUCCGCGUCCUAUUAGCUAGUUGGUGGGGUAACGGCCUACCAAGGCAAAGAUGGGUACCGGGUGUGAGAGCAUGGCCCGGCUCACUGGGACUGAGACACUGCCCAGACACCUACGGGUGGCUGCAGUCGAGAAUCUUCGGCAAUGGGCGAAAGCCUGACCGAGCGACGCCGCGUGCGGGAUGAAGGCCUUCGGGUUGUAAACCGCUGUCAGAGGGGAGGAAAUGCAUGAGGGUUCUCUCUCAUGUUUGACCUAUCCUCAGAGGAAGUACGGGCUAAGUUCGUGCCAGCCGCCGCCGUAACAC
rnacentral:rRNA from 1 species